GGAAGAGACCUAUUAGGGGAGGUCUGCACACCGUGGGUUACAGAAGGUAGGAACAGUGAUGACUUCCACCAUGGCCUGGACCCCUCUUCUCCUCACCCUACUUGCUCACUGUACAGGGUCCUGGGCCCAGUCUGUGCUGACUCAGCCACCAUCAGUGUCUGGGACCCUAGGCCAGAGGAUCACCAUCUCCUGCACCGGAAGCAGCUCCAACAUCGGGGGUGGUAAUGCUGUGAGCUGGUACCAACAAGUCCCAGGAAUGGGCCCCAAAACCGUCAUCUAUUGGGAUAACAGCAAACCCUCGGGGGUCCCAGAUAGAUUCUCCGGCUCAAAGUCUGGCAGUUCAGGCACCCUGACCAUCACUGGGCUGCAGGCUGAGGGCGAGGCUGAUUAUUACUGCUCAGCAUGGGAUGAUAGUCUCAGUGCUCACACAGUGCUCCAGUCCUGUGGGGAAGUGAGACGAAAACAUGCUGUCCCUGCAGUGAUGGGAUUUCUUUUGCAGCCCCCAUCUUCUGCCAAGACAGCUGGUUCCCCUUUUGUUUGACCUAAAUCUGAGGUCUGAAACCCAACUCA